GACGAACGCUGGCGGCGUGCUUAACACAUGCAAGUCGAACGGAAAGGCCCCUUCGGGGGUACUCGAGUGGCGAACAGGUGAGUAACACGUGAGUAACCUGCCCUUGACUUCGGGAUAACUUCAGGAAACUGGGGCUAAUACCGGAUAGGAAUCCUUGCUGCAUGGUGGGGGUUGGAAAGCUUCGGCGGUUUUGGAUGGACUCGCGGCUUAUCAGCUUGUUGGUGGGGUAGUGGCUUACCAAGGCUUUGACGGGUAGCCGGCCUGAGAGGGCGACCGGCCACAUUGGGACUGAGAUACGGCCCAGACUCCUACGGGAGGCAGCAGGGGGGAAUAUUGCACAAUGGGCGGAAGCCUGAUGCAGCAACGCCGCGUGCGGGAUGACGGCCUUCGGGUUGUAAACCGCUUUCAGCAGGGGCGAAGCUUGUGGUGACGGUACCUGCAGAAGAAGCACCGGCUAACUACGUG
rnacentral:rRNA from 1 species